AUGCUGCCGCCGCCGCCGCCGGAGCGGUGGUCCAUCCUGGCUCGAAUCCCUAAAGUUGUGAAGGACAAGGAGGCGAAGCGCACCUUCCCGCCGGGCGCCGACGUCUCCGUCGCCUGCGACGAGCUCCCGCGCGCCUCAAUCCUCACCGUGCCGCUCCGCAUCUCCCCGCCGCCCUGCCUCCCCAGCUACCCCUACGUCGCCGCUGCGGACCCCUCCAGCCUGCUCCUCCUCUGCGCCACGGAGCCUGGCGGGGAGGUCACCUACCACCUCUGCCACGCGCGCACAGGUGAGGCCACCUGUUUCCGCGAGCACGACUGCCCCAUGGGCUUCGACGACGCCAAUGUCGGCCUAAUGACGAGGGGCGACAGCUGCGUGGUCGCCGAGCUCCAGCCCUCCGGCGACGGCUCCGGCCGUGCCACGCUCCUCCGCUACACGGUGGGGCAGUACAAGUGGGCCGUGACGGAGCUCGCCUACUCGCCGCAGCUGCACCGGCAGUGGUUCUGCGAGGGGGUCGUCUCCCACGGAGGGAUGCUCUGGUGGGUGGAGCUCUCGUACGGCCUCCUCGCCUGUGACCCCUACUCCGACAAGCCGGAGCUGCUACACGUCCCGCUUCCGACGAUCAUCGACCCGCUUCCGGGAAAAGUGGCAAAUUUGGCCAACAGGGCCUCCCACAGCUGCGUGAAGGCGAGCAGCGGAAGGCUGAGGUACGUGCAGAUCCAUGGCGAUCCCGCCGCCCGGUGGUGA
rnacentral:rRNA from 1 species